GAAGGAAAUUAAGUACGGAAGUUCCUGAUUUCACGCUGUCAAGAAAAGCCUCUAGGAAGAGUAGUACUGCCCGUACCGCAAACCGACACAGGUAGAUGAGGAGAGAAUCCUAAGGUGAGCGAGAGAACUCUCGUUAAGGAACUCGGCAAAAUGACCCCGUAACUUCGGGAGAAGGGGUGCUCUAUUAGGGUGCAAGCCCGAGAGAGCCGCAGUGAAUAGGCCCAGGCGACUGUUUAGCAAAAACACAGGUCUCUGCAAAACCGUAAGGUGACGUAUAGGGGCUGACGCCUGCCCGGUGCUGGAAG
rnacentral:rRNA from 1 species